GAGCAUUUCCCACAGCUGAAGGGGCUGUGGGCAGGGAGAGGCUUGCCCUGCUCUCCCCAGCACAAGAACCAGCAUGAAAGGUGAUGAGAAGCAGUGAUCAGUCAAAGACAGAGCAUCACAUUCUGUGCUUCACUGUCUGGAGCAAGGAGACGGCCCAAGAAGCAUGAACACAUAAAAAACCUACAUGAGAAUGUUUACAUUAUAGAAUCAAGAUUUUGAAUGGAAAAUGUCCCUCAAGAAACUGUUUGACCAUGACUACGUGAGAUCCAACACCAAGCAGGAAACUGAAGCCCUCAUACCCAAGACCAUGUGUUGUACCAUAAGUGUUGUACCUUCCACUGUGCUACUGAGAGGACACACACAAAACUUCAGUCAUGAUCUAGCAAUGAACUAGCAAGGACUUUAACCCGGCCAUUGUAGUUGAAAGCAAUUAGGAACAGCCCAGACAGAGAAACUUCUGCUACUUGAAACCAAGCACAAAAAUAACUUGAAGAGUUAAGCUGUAAAUUAAAAAUUAUAGUAGUUGUAUAGGUCUGAAAUUAAUUAUUGCACAACUUUUUCUGUAACAUAAUCCAAAGUAUAUUUUAAUUGGAUUCUAAUGUUUUCUUUUAUAAGGAGACAGCUGGAGUUCCAUCUGGCCUCAUUUCUCACAACACAAUCUAUUUUAUACUAUAAUACCUCCAAUAUGGUAAUUACUAUUGUUGGUUGUAAAAAAACAUAAAGUUUCAGUCUGGACAAUUUCAUCUGGCCUUGGAAUAAAGCUGACUCCACUUUCAGUUGCUGUUUCUCAACAUAUUAAAAAUUAUGCGCCACUGAAAACAGCAAUAAAUAGCCAGACAAAAAUAUACAAUUGUCUGGUAUUUGAGCAUAUCCCUUAAAAACAGCUGAUUCAAAUGCAAAAAAGCAUUCAUUAAAAAUAGAAAUAUAUUGUAUUGAAAUCCACUAUUGGCUUUUUUAGAGGUAAAAUCCAAAUUCACUGCUUAUGAUAUUGUUUUCCCAAAGGAACAGCUGCAUUUAGAUCAUGAGAAAGACAAAGUAUUUAACAAAAGAAUACUGAGUAUGUUACCUAUUCUAGCAGUAUGCCUUCAGCCUUGCACACCAGCUCCAAAGCAAU